GGCAGAUGAUGUCUUUUCUCACAAUGGUCUGCAGAUACCACUGUGGGCUGAAAAUGCCAAGCGUUCAGCUGAUGCCAGGAG
ensembl:snoRNA